GGACCGGGAUAACCCUGGGAAACUGGGGAUAAUACUGGAUAGGCAAUUUUUCCUGUAAUGGUUUUUUGUUUAAAUGUUUUUUCGCCUAAGGAUGGGUCUGCGGCCGAUUAGGUAGUUGGUUAGGUAAUGGCUUACCAAGCCGUUGAUCGGUACGGGUUGUGAGAGCAAGAGCCCGGAGAUGGAACCUGAGACAAGGUUCCAGGCCCUACGGGGUGCAGCAGGCGCGAAACCUCCGCAAUGUGAGAAAUCGCGACGGGGGGAUCCCAAGUGCCAUUCUUAACGGGAUGGCUUUUCAUUAGUGUAAAGAGCUUUUGGAAUAAGAGCUGGGCAAGACCGGUGCCAGCCGCCGCGGUAACACCGGCAGCUCUAGUGGUAGCAAUUUUUAUUGGGCCUAAAGCGUCCGUAGCCGGUUUAAUAAGUCUCUGGUGAAAUCCUGCAGCUUAACUGUGGGAAUUGCUGGAGAUACUAUUAGACUUGAGACCGGGAGAGGUUAGAGGUACUCCCAGGGUAGAGGUGAAAUUCUGUAAUCCUGGGAGGACCGCCUGUUGCGAAGGCGUCUAGCUGGAACGGUUCUGACGGUGAGGGACGAAAGUUAGGGGCGCGAACCGGAUUAGAUACCCGGGUAGUCCUAACUGCAAACGAUGCGGACUUGGUGUUGGGGUGGCUUUGAGCUGCUUCAGUGCCGAAGGGAAGCUGUUAAGUCCGCCGCCUGGGAAGUACGGUCGCAAGACUGAAACUUAA
rnacentral:rRNA from 1 species